rnacentral:lncRNA from 1 species
CCAAGAUGCCAUGUAUACCUUACUUCCUGGUAAACACUUGCGCUCAUGCCUCAAGGUGUUCCAUGGCAAUACAGUUUUCUGUUUUCUAAUGAUCCUCCAUUUGCUUUAUUGUUUGCUAAAGUAUGAACCCUGUGUAGCUACUGGAUUAACCAUUUUUCAGGCAUUCAGGCUAUUUACUUUUGGAAAAAAGAGUCUCACGGAGUUGGCUGUCUUGCUUCCUCUUCUGUCUCUUUCUACAUGUCGACUACAUGAACUUUACAAAAACCAUGAGAUCAAAGGUCAGUCGCCUUCAAGUCGCUGCAGUUGCUUCUCACCAGAGAGGAAGAGGCGAAGCGAGAGGGUUUACUCCCCCAAAACUCUGUCCACGAAAAUAAGACCAUGAAGUCCAUCAACCCGACCCAGAAUUCCACAGGAGCCCACACAACCAGGGACUCCCUGGAGCAAUGGCUGCUCUUGCCCAGCAGCCUAAACAAGCACCUGUACCUGCCUGCUGCAGAGAUUCUUCUUCCUGGAAGGUGGCAGACAUCCCUACUGCCUGAGCAACAGGAGUUGGUGAGCCAGGCCCUGUUUCAGAGGGACAGUUCUGGAAACAUUGAGUUCAUUCUGAGACCAACCAAGAACUGCCACUAAUCUCACCUGCUCCCUUCUUUGCAACAUGUUUUUUCUUGUGGAUGCCCAAACGCAUGUGGCGAUUGAAGCUGUCAUGCCCCAGUGCCAAGGCCACCUGCUCUCAGACUGUGGGCUGUAUAAGACCGUGCAGAGGAUUCUGGACAUUGACGAGUGGUAUUACAUGGCCACAGAGUGCCUUGAAUGCAGUCAGUGUUAGAGGAAAGGGAAGGGUGGUUUCUGGAUGUGUUAAAUUAACUGCCUCCAGGUUGUCAUCUGUAGUUUGCAGCAAUCUUUACCUCCCGGUAAGUUUAUCCUUAUCUGGUCCAGAUGGCGAUCAACUAAGUAUCUAGAGAGAAGGAGGGGAAGAGAGAGGAUCCAUGGUCCAUAGACAGUGCCUCGUAGCACUACUACCUCAAAAUAGGACAGGAAAACAAGAAGAGCAAUAAAGACUUUCAUUGCAUCUUUACCCAUCUAAAGGUUUGACUUUUUCAAACCAGAGUUGACCAACCACAGACAGAAACCAACCAUAUAUCCAAUCAGAUCAAACCACAACCAAGUCCCCUCAAAGAGGGGUCAAACCUUACUGUGAUAAGUAGCCUAGGUGUACUGCUUGUAUGAAUUUGGGAUGUUUUUUGUUGUUUUAAUUUAACCUUUAUUUAACUUUAUUGGCUUGACGUCAUUUCCGGUCUCAACUUGUAGACUUCUUUAAGUGCUGCUGCACCCACGUGGGUGACUGAAAGACGAAUGAGGUCAGUGGCGGUAAUGCACCUAAUUUAUGAAAGUUGCCAAUCGCAAUGUAAAGUCAAGAGAAGAAAAAGCAUGGAAGGAAGAGAGAUGACUAGAAAUGAUUCGGUUGACCGUUUUAUGUGUGGAUUAAUUGGCGGAGUAGCGGACCUUGUGCUUUCAGCCCUAGGACCUGGCCUGAUGACUCCUUGCUGACCCCAGUUCACCGGACGUGCUACCUGUCCCAGACCUGCUGUUUUCAACUCUCUAGAGACAGCAGAUGCGGUAGAGAUACUCUGAAUGAUCAGCUAUGAAAAGCCAACUGACAUUUACUCCUGAAGUGCUGACCUGUUGCACCCUCUACAAACACUGUGAUUAUUAUUAUUUGACCCUGCUGGUCAUCUAUGAACAUUUGAACAUCUUGGCCAUGUUCUGUUAUAAUCUCCACCCGGCACAGCCAGAAGAGGACUGGCCACCCCUCAUAGCCUGGUUCCUCUCUAGGUUUCUUCCUAGGUUCUGGCCUUUCUUGGGAGUUUUUCCUAGCCACCAUGCUUCUACACCUGCAUUGCUUGCUGUUUGGGGUUUUAGGCUGGGUUUUUGUGCACUUUGUGACAUCAGCUGAUGUAAGAAGGGCUUUAUAAAUAAAUUUGAUUUGUUUGAACUAGGCAAGCCAGUUAAGAACAAAUACUUAUUUACAAUGACGGCCUAACCCGGACGACGCUGGGCCAAUUGUGCGCGCCCUAUGGGACUCCCAAUCACGGCCGGUUGUGAUACAGCCUGGAAUUGAACCAGGUCUGUAGUGACGCUCUAGCACUGAGAUGAGGUGCGUUCGAGCGCUGCGCCACUCGGGAACCCAAAAUCAAUUUAUAAUAUUGAUCCACAACUGUCAGUCUGUUUGGAACAGUGGCAUGUAUUUAUGGAUGCCAGGCUUCCCAAACAAAUUGACCAAGAAAUAAAUAACUAAAUGAAAUACUUUGUGUUUCAUAAGCUUCCUUCAGUUAGCAAGAGGCUGAAUGUAUAUACAAGGAGAAAGCAUUAGAGCGAGCGAAACAGCACCCUUCUUUGUCUCUAAGUGUAGCUCAUACUGUCUGGUUCAAACGAGUAUAGCAGUGUUGCCGCCCGUAACACUUAAGGCAAGGGAAGCCAGGUAGCAUUUGGCCUCCCUUGAUUAAAAAAAAGUUACAAAAAAUGGCCGAUCACCAUUGAGCUAAACUGAGCGACCUCAACUGUGAAUAGUCCUGGUGAAACCAGUUUGUAUUUUGGCAUCCCUCCUAUCAAAUUCCAUUGAGAGCAUACCUCCUUGACAGAGAGAACUUGAAUUGUUGCAUCUCGUUGUGUUGUCCUCCGGUGGCUAGCUAGCUAGAUAAAAUUGUCCCUUUCAUAAAUUAGCCAUGGAUGGAGAUAGGGAUGUGGUUUUACUUAAUUCUCCAUACUGAGAUUUUACCCACGCACCGCUACUGGUUUGGAAUAGGCUAUUUCUUUCUCA